rnacentral:tRNA from 1 species
GCGAGCUUGGCGGAAUGGUAGACGCACGAGACUUAAAAUCUCGAGUCCUCAAGGACGUGCGGGUUCGAGUCCCGCAGCUCGCA